rnacentral:rRNA from 1 species
GUGGGGAAUAUUGCACAAUGGGCGCAAGCCUGAUGCAGCAACGCCGCGUGAGGGAUGACGGCCUUCGGGUUGUAAACCUCUUUUAGUAGGGAAGAAGCGUAAGUGACGGUACCUGCAGAAAAAGCACCGGCUAACUACGUGCCAGCAGCCGCGGUAAUACGUAGGGUGCAAGCGUUGUCCGGAAUUAUUGGGCGUAAAGAGCUCGUAGGCGGCUUGUCGCGUCUGCUGUGAAAUCACGGAGCUCAACUCCGGGCGUGCAGUGCGUACGGGCAGGCUAGAGUGCGGUAGGGGAGAUUGGAAUUCCUGGUGUAGCGGUGGAAUGCGCAGAUAUCAGGAGGAACACCGAUGGCGAAGGCAGAUCUCUGGGCCGUAACUGACGCUGAGGAGCGAAAGCAUGGGGAGCGAACAGGAUUAGAAACCCCUGUAGUCC